CAGUCGCAAUGAUGAGACAAAAUACCAUGACACUCUGGUCACAUAGGUAUUUGUCAGUCGCAAUGAUGAGACAAAAAUACCACAACAUUUGCCGUGAGUACAACCACCCAACAUUGGCAUUUACGAAAGAAGGUGGUACAAAGCAUACAAGCACCCAGCAAGACGUUGGCAAGAAACACUCUGGUUGUUUGCUGAAACUUGUAAUGGAAGCUACACACAAUUUAAGGAGCAAAUGACAUGCUCAAAUGGAUUUGAUGCUAACAGUUUCAUCUGUGUGGACAUGAUGAAAUGGACACGUCCAAGCCAUGGUUAGCAGAAGUUGGCAAUGCUCAGAGCUUUGCAGCAAGUGAUUGAGGCCAAAAUAUUUCAAAAGAAUUGAAUUAAAAUGCAUGCUGAUCAAUUUGAAUAUAUACUGUAGUUGAACUUGCCUAUGUGACGAGAGUGGGGAAGAUACAAAAAACAAUUUCAAUAACAGACUAGGUUUGGAAUGCUGACAAAACUUUCUUUCAUGAGUGAUGAGAUUGUCAAGAAAACAGAUCACAGAUGUCCCAUGAAUUUUCAAGAAUGAAUCCUUUACAAAGAUCUGUUGCAUUAAUGAGGAUGGACUUAUCAGGUAAUGCGGGACCUGGGCUGACUCAACCUCAUAUCCGAACGUAAGCCGAACCUGGGUCGGCUCGAGGUCGCCUUGAUUGCGGUCAAUUUUGCCUACCAUAACAUUACAAACUGACCGGCGCAAAAAAACCCCAAUUGAGAAAAAAAAAUGGUUAAGGAAAAGAUGUCGCAAAAUUCAGCAAGAGGGAAUUACUGGGAUGAGGAUGAGGUGUCUUUUAGCUGUGUGGACGGAGAGGGGCAUACAACAACAGAUGGAUGGCAGUGUAAGGAACGCAGUGGUGUUCAGAGAGGGCCAAGACCGGAGGUUAAUCCUCCCCAUGUGCUAGGUUCGUUGAACGAGGACAGGCCCGGCACUAGCUGCAACAACAAUAACGAUGAUGACAAUGAAACUGAUGAAGAAAUUGAAAAG